UACAGAGGGUGCGAGCGUUGUCCGGAAUCACUGGGCGUAAAGGGCGCGUAGGCGGCCCGAUAAGUAGGGGGUGAAAUCUUGCGGCUCAACCGCAAGGCUGCCUUCUAAACUGUCGGGCUGGAGCACGGUAGGGGCAGAUGGAAUUCCCGGUGUAGCGGUGGAAUGCGUAGAGAUCGGGAAGAACACCAGUGGCGAAGGCGGUCUGCUGGGCCGUUGCUGACGCUGAGGCGCGACAGCGUGGGGAGCGAACCGG
rnacentral:rRNA from 1 species